CCACCGGCAGCCCGAGUGGUGGCCACUAUUAUUGGGCCUAAAGCGUCCGUAGCUGGUCCGGUAAGUCCCUGUGGAAAUCCUCAGGCUCAACCUGAGGAAAUGCGGGGAUACUGCCGGACUCGGGGCCGGGAGACGCGGAGGGUACUCCAGGGGUAGCGGUGAAAUGCUGUAAUCCCUGGGGGACCACCAGUGGCGAAGGCGCUCCGCGAGAACGGGCCCGACGGUGAGGGACGAAAGCCAGGGGAGCGAACGGGAUUAGAAACCCUUGUAGUCC
rnacentral:rRNA from 1 species